ensembl:lncRNA VIRMA-DT VIRMA divergent transcript
GGGAAGUGAGAUGGGGACUACGGGGUCUCCAGUGGUUCAAACCCUGUCGUUCCUCCGCGUUACAGAGCUACAGCGGUCUCCGGGUGGCGAAGUGCGGAGACGGGGUUUUGGAGACGGUGGAUGGAGGAGGGGGAGGGAAAGCUGCCAACUUUGGAUACCAACCCCGUACACCCACCGAAGGGGAUGUCCCACUUUUUCCAGCGCUGGGAGCAAAAAGAUAACAGUGAGCGAGGUUGAAAAGGAGUCUACUCCUAUGUAAAUCUUCUGCAGGUUGUGCAGUGGACUUCACCUAGUCUCCCAUCUCCAGCUAAUUUGGCCAAGAAUAGUCACCUGGCGCAAGGUGGGGAGGGAGCUCUCAAUUGGCCAGCAACUUCUGACGUGUGACCUGACUGAACAAUGAGAGGCUCGAGUGAAAUUACCAGCUGGUAGUAGGACAGAGGAUAUAGAUACAUGGAAUGGAGCUGAGCCAAAUUAAUGACAAAGGACUAGACAAGAAUGACUGUUGAUGAUCACCUAUGCUGAGAUCACAAAGCUGCCCCGAGUCCAGAAGCAGGUUCACUGAGGGAGGCUCAACCAUGUUACCAAUCUUGUUUGAGAUUAAUGUUCCUUGUUGUAAACCUCAAGUCUGUUUCUUGCAAUCAAACCAUUCUAAAUUGAAACAACUACUUAGAAAGUGUUUCUAUGGGUUCAGUGGGACAUUUCAACCAAAUGAAAUAUGAUAAUGAUCUUAAAUGAACUAACAAUAGUGUUGCAGAAAUAAAAUACAAAUACCAGAAAGAUAGC